UACGUAGGGUCCGAGCGUUAAUCGGAAUUACUGGGCGUAAAGCGUGCGCAGGCGGUUUUGUAAGCCAGAUGUGAAAGCCCCGGGCUCAACCUGGGAAUGGCAUUUGGGACUGCAAGGCUAGAGUACGGCAGAGGGAGGUGGAAUUCCAGGUGUAGCAGUGAAAUGCGUAGAUAUCAGGAGGAACACCAAUGGCGAAGGCAGCUCGCUGGGACGUGACUGACGCUGAGACGCGAAAGCGUGGGGAGCAAACAGG
rnacentral:rRNA from 1 species